rnacentral:misc_RNA from 1 species
AGCAGUUGUAAAUUAAAAUUGUACUUUAAAAUUAUACAUUAAAGUUGUAAACUAAAUUUAUAAAUUAUUUUGGCUUGUAAAUAUUGUGAUAUAUUCCUUUUAUCUCAGCUUUUGAAAACACUUGGAAAAUUAUUGUGGAUUUGAGUUGGCAAAUGUUGAGAAACUUGUUGUGUUGAUUGGAUAUUGGAGUUGGGGAUUGAACAAAAUAUUGAAAGUGUUUUUUACAGGUUUUUGAAGAACUGUUUUAUUCAAAAUACAGAUGGUACUCUGCCAAAAUUUUUACAGAAACUCCAAAUAAGUCAAAUGUGUCAGUUUUAUCA